GACGUAGGAGGCGAGCGUUGUCCGGAUUCAUUGGGCGUAAAGAGCGCGUAGGCGGCUGGAAUAGUCCGGUGUGAAAUCCACAGGCUUAACCUGUGAAUGCCGCUGGAAACUGUCUGGCUAGAGUCCGGAAGGGGCGAGUGGAAUUCCUGGUGUAGCGGUGAAAUGCGCAGAUAUCAGGAGGAACACCAAUGGCGAAGGCAGCUCGCUGGGACGGUACUGACGCUGAGGCGCGAAAGCGUGGGUAGCAAACAGG
rnacentral:rRNA from 1 species